rnacentral:rRNA from 1 species
AGCUUUAUGUGUUAUAUAAAGUGACUCCUGCCCAGUGUAGUUCUAUCAACGGCCGCAGUACCCUGACUGUGCUAAGGUAGCAUAAUCAAUUGGCUUGUAAUUAAGGUCUGGAAUAAAUGGAGCUAUGGGGGAAGACUAUAUUUUUAACUUUCAAUUAAAUUUACUUAAAAGGUGAAAAUUCCUUUUUAAAUAAAAAAGACGAGAAGACCCUAAGAGCUUUAAUAAGUAGGUAGAAUGUAUCUUUUUUUUUGUUGGGGUGACAGGCUUACAUAAAACUAAGCUAAUUUCAUGACGGAAAUUUCAUGUAAGUAAAAGCUACCUUAGGGAUAACAGCAUAAUUUAUUAAUAAGAUUAUGACCUCGAUGUUGGACUAGGCACUUAAUAGUGAGAAGCUAAGUUAGCAGGUUCUGUUCGAACUUUUUAAGCCU